ACGGGUGAGUAACGCGUGGGUAACCUGCCUUAUACAGGGGGAUAACAGUCAGAAAUGGCUGCUAAUACCGCAUAAGCGCACAGAGCUGCAUGGCUCAGUGUGAAAACUCCGGUGGUAUAAGAUGGACCCGCGUUGGAUUAGCUUGUUGGUGGGGUAACGGCCCACCAAGGCGACGAUCCAUAGCCGGCCUGAGAGGGUGAACGGCCACAUUGGGACUGAGACACGGCCCAGACUCCUACGGGAGGCAGCAUG
rnacentral:rRNA from 1 species